rnacentral:rRNA from 1 species
CAAUAGCGUAUAUUUAAGUUGUUGCAGUUAAAAAGCUCGUAGUUGGACUUAGGGGUGGGUCAGUCGGUCCGCCUCACGGUGAGCAUCGGUCUGCUCGUCCUUACUGUCAGCGAUGCGCUCCUGGCUUUAAUUUGUUCGGUUGUUCCUCCGGUGCUGUUACAUUGAAGAAAUUAGAGUGCUCAAAGCAGGCCUACGCUUGUAUACAUUAGCAUGGGAUAACAUCAUAGGAUUUCGAUCCUAUUGUGUUGGCCUUCAGGAUCGGAGUAAUGAUUAACAGGGACAGUCGGGGGCAUUCGUAUUUCAUAGUCAGAGGUGAAAUUCUUGGAUUUAUGAAAGAUGAACAACUGCGAACGCAUUUUACAAGGAUGUUUUCAUUAA